UACGGGGGGGGCAAGCGUUGUUCGGAAUUACUGGGCGUAAAGGGCUCGUAGGCGGCCAACUAAGUCGGAUGUGAAAUCCCCAGGCUCAACUUGGGAACUGCAUCCGAUACUGGAUGGCUUGAAUUCGGGAGAGGGAUGCAGAAUUCCAGGUGUAGCGGUGAAAUGCGUAGAUAUCUGGAGGAAUACCAGUGGCGAAGGCGGCUUCCUGGACACUAACUGACGCUGAGACGCGAAAGCGUGGGGAGCAAACAGG
rnacentral:rRNA from 1 species